UUUGGUAUCCUUGUGUCUUCACAACAUUGUCAAGCAAUAUAUCCCCCAGCCCAAAAAAAACACACCGGAGACAUUUUGUUACAACUUAUUUUAUAUUUGCUUAGUUUAGAAUGAAGAUAUUUUUGACAUACUCUGGAUUUGAACAAGUGAUCAUUAGUCUUUUUUUUUUUUUGAUCAGCAUUUAACAGUCAUAGUUUUUCAAUUUGGGCAAAUACAGAAAGGUUUUCUUACAAAAAAAAAAAAAACAAAAAACGUGCAAUUUAAAAACACAGCCAGAGCGUCUUUUUUUCUAAUUAAAAAUAUUGAUCAGAAUCAAGCAAGACUAAGAAAAUACCUAUCAGAAAUAAGCUGCUGUGUAGCUCGGCUUAUUUCAUACGGUUGCCCUGUGGUGCACAACACAACUGGAUUUCAGCAAGCCUUUCUGAAGUAUCAGGGCCACCGUAGAUCUCACAGAUGAAUAUUAACUAUUAACAACACUGCUGUUAAACAGGCUCAGACCUGGUCAGCAGAUGUUGCACACAGUCCCACCUCAUGUUUUUACAGUUAAUGUCUUUUAUAAAACAGCAAACCAUUUUCUGUUUUAUUAUCUCACUUUAAACUAGCAGGGUUCUGUGUCACAGAGCAGGAUUAGAAAGUUACUUCACGAUGAUGACUUAAUGAUGAGGUUUAGAUAGUCACACACUUCAUCACACUCAAUGCUAUCUUCCUCCUCUUGCUUUGUGAAACAGCCUUAAUUAACUCCAGCCAUGAUCUAAUCAGCAAAUUGAUCUUUUUCUACAAAGGUAGUCAAAAAAAAAAAAGAAAUAUAAAAGAAACACAGUAAGAAAAAAAAAACACCUUCCAAACAGAAGACAAAGUAAUGCACUUAUUGGUAGUGAACGCUGUAAACAACUCUCUACAUUGUCCUCGCCCUCAUCAGUAUGCCCGAUUGGGCAGCGGAUCUACUCGUCUGACUUCUGAGCGCCGUCUCAUCCCAGUCCUUUUCCCUCUGUCCUUUGAAUCUGACGAAUCAUUAGCAGUUGUGUGCGAGCAGCGAGGAACAAGCAGUUAAAAGACAAACUGUGGUUCCGCAACUCUACCGCCAUUCCCAUUUAAAGGUGGCGUCAAAAUGUGUUUGCUCUACUAGCGGGCUCCAAGCAUAAACCGGCGAUGGAAAACUGAGUCCAUUCAAGUCCUAUGAAGCCCUGGGUCUUCCUCAGUAGGUGGCAUCCACUGCAUUGAUGUUGCUGUCCAGCUGGUGUCUGAAAGAAAGCCGGGCCUUGGUGGAGAAAUAGAUCUGGGAACCCCGAUUGAUGCUUCCUGUUCCUUCGCUGUCACUGCCCCAGGAUGUCGUAGAGGACAGACGUGGCUUCAUCUCCUCCACAGGCACUGUAUGGGUGGCAGAUAGAGAGUCAAGCGGUUUGUUCUGCAUUUGAUUUUCUCAUACAGUUGGAAUAUACAGGAGGUGGUGCUCACCUGGAGGGGGCGGGCACUGCCUGCUCUUGCAGCGCUCUUUGCAGCGUCUGUAGAAGGGAAAGCACUGUAACAUCUUCACACCCAUGAUAGAGAUGCCUGAGGAGAGAAAGAAGUGAAGAAAGACAUAAAUAUAAGUGAGCUGAUUGGAAAGUACGCAAAUCUUCCACGAGCUUUCUCUCAAAUAUGAAGUAAGCCGAGUUAAACCAUCGUGACAACACUUCUUCCACAGCUCGCACUUAAGCCGCCUCAUCACAGCCACAGCAGCUCUGCUGACAGUUCAUCGUCUCCUCACCAGGUCACCGUUUAAUGGAAUUAUGAUGCUGCGCUUCACCAGCGCGACCGCUUAAUGUAAGCUGACAGUAUCACCGAAUGGCACGGCGGCCCAGCAACCAACCACUCAGUCACUAUUUACCACUCCAUCACCACCACCCUCCACGCCGUCUAAUCCUGGAACAGGACGUCAGUGCACUACAGCAGCCAGGGCGAAUGAUAAGCUCUCUUUUGACAAGCAAAGACAUUUUACACAGAGGUCGUCUGAUGUAGGCACGUCACAGCUGACAGCCUCAUAUCUCAUAUCAGCAAAAACUUCAGUUUCUCAAAUUUGCCUCUAAAUCUGUUGUUUUAACUGAUAUUGAAGAGCAAAAAUCAAACUUUAAAAAAAAAAAAAAAAACAGCUGCUCAACCUCGACCUAUCUGCAGAGCUCGACCCAGACAUGUCUGUCAAAUUCAUGAUUUCCCUGCGGACUGUCCGCCUUUCUGCAGUGGGGAGAUAAAGGGUCACAUGACGGCACAGAGCUGUAGCUGCUUAGAAAGAAAAAAGGUAUUUAUUUUAGGCUAAUCAGGUUAAGAAAUAGGUCAGGUGAAAUGGAGCAGAAGGAGCUGAUGGACGUUGACAGUUUCUAUUGUAGCUGUGCAGAGAAGUGCAAGCGCUCAUUCCUCACAUGCCAGUCUAAUAAAUGUUCACAUUUAACUGUUACCAGACAAACUGGAAACUGAGGAGAUAUUUACUGCACUUUCAGAUAAAAUACAUAAAGGAAUAAUACCAUCUAACCACUUAGCAAGAUUUCCUAUCAGUAAUGAUUACAGUAAUUCUUUUGAGGUACAAUUGAAGGGCAACAGUGAAGUAUGGAAUGAAUAACUGGCAUCUGCACUGGUAGAUGUUUUACUUCCCUUUGGGGUCUUUACAAAUUGACAAAAGCAGAAGAAGGGAAAAAUUGAUGUUUAAGGGUUGCACAACUGCAAAUAUUUGCACACAAAAACCCACAAAGUGAAGCAAAAAGGAUGCAAGAUGUGACACAAAGCAGGCACGAUUUUCUCCGGGUGUGAUGUCUUUGUAGGAUCGAUGAUGGAUGGACAGGGAGCUUCAGACUUCAGUGUCCAGAGACCUGCAGUAUAAUUGUUUUGUCAUGGUUGGCUAAAGAUGAAAAGCUGAAUUUAUCAAUAUUAUUUUUUAAAUGCUGAGCUUUUUUUUCAUUAAAUAUGGUUAUAUAUGAUAUCUCUUAUAUGAUGUACACCUUUUUAAACAGUCAUGCAGGGCUUAAAGUGUACAUUGACAUCCUCAUUAUGACAUGAGUGCCCAACCCCACAAUUCGUUUAAAGGGAUACAGUAAUAAUCAGCUCCUUAUUUGCAUUUGGGUGUGUUUUUUUUUUAUUGGAAUUAAACCUUCAGCCAGUUAGUCACAAUAUUUAUGAUCAGAGCAGGUUUGAUCCUAAUCCUCCCACCUCUGUCUGAAGUAAACCUCGUCACUCUGAUGGGGAAACCUCUUUUAGUUUGAUAAAUUCACCGUUUAUUCAUCCCAGAGGCACGUUUAGAUAUCUGAUCGCAAACUGUAAACUGUGAUUGCAACAUAAAGAAAGGCAAUCCUGGGUAAAUAUACAACCCCCCAAAACCCCCGCCCCGACAACUAUUUACUGCUGACUGGUCGUGCUGCCUGACUCAGUGAGGCAGACGUGACAGCUCGCACAUACCCACGGUCUCAGAGCUGCUACACCCCGUCACAGACAAGCCAAUGGGGGAGGUAUGUGUCCACUAAGUGUGAAACUCUGACACUAAUUUCACAGCCACCCUGUUUCUUGACAAAUUCUCACAGUACAAGCGUUUUUUCCUCCUCUAUUUCCAACCAUCUGAUACUCCUCCCAUCUGCAUUUCAGUCAGGUGUGGCUCUGAAACCUUAUGCCAUCUACACGCACAGUGACUCCAUUAUGUUUAGGUCAAUUUAGAGGUUCUGGGAAAUCACAGUAUAGCACGGGAACAGGGACAGUACAGAGUUUGAACCAGUUUCAUACACACACACAAAUGCGCACACAAUAUGAAGGGCUGGUCAGUAGUGAGGAAUUUUGGGCACAGAUCUUGGUUGGCUGUGGGGGUCUGGCAGCACACAGUAGGCCUGGGAGCAUGAAAAAGAAAAACAACCUCAGAUGGCACACACAGACACACACACAAAGAAGGGAGGGGGCAAGAGGAAAAGCACUUAAGGAAAAGGACAAAAUAAAGAAGGCUGAGGAUGGGAUGAGAAAGAGCAGAAAAGGAAGGCGACUAAGAAAAACAUCAUCAUAAAUUAUUUUUAAAAAAGGCUUACAGUCACAAAAGGAGGAUAGGAGUGAUGAGGAAAAGUGGGGAAAGGGUUUGUGACUGUUAGGAUCCCAUGCCUGUUUGUCACAGCGGAGAGUUCAGCCUGCAGGCAGCUUAUGUGGUUAACAUGCCGCUCCUAAAUAAUGCAGUUUUACUUGUUCAAUUAGCGCCGCUUUGCUGGUGAAGCUGAAGGUUGCGCAAUCCCUCCGAGAAACAUUAGCGAGCGGCUUCUGGCUCACAAUCUAUGCCAGUAUUGUGUCACAUCAUUUAAAGCACAUGUCUGUGCAUGUGCGUGUGAGUGUGUGUCGUUGACGAAACAUAACAGAAUAAUUAUGAAACUUAAGCUAAAUUAAAUCUGAUCCCUUCAUAUAUUUUGUACCCUCCACAAAUGCCACCGAUCCUCUCUGUCUGCACUCUUCAAAGCACAUUUUCAUGCAGGAACAUGAUAACGAU
ensembl:lncRNA